rnacentral:rRNA from 1 species
CAGCCGCCGCGGGAAUACGGAGGGGGCUAGCGUUGUUCGGAAUUACUGGGCGUAAAGCGCACGUAGGCGGCUUGGUAAGUUAGAGGUGAAAGCCCGGAGCUCAGCCCCGGAAUUGCCUUUAAGACUGCCGAGCUAGCAGGUGAGAGAGGUAAGUGGAAUUCCGAUUGUAGAGGUGAAAUUCGUAGAUAUUCGGAAGAACACCAGUGGCGAAGGCGGCUUACUGGCUCAUACUGGACGCUGAGGUGCGAAAGCGUGGGGAGCAAACAGGAUUAGAGACCCCGGUAGUCCCUGUCUCUUAUAA